AUUGAACGCUGGCGGCAGGCCUAACACAUGCAAGUCGAGCGAGUGGCGGACGGGUGAGUAAUGUCUGGGAAACUGCCUGAUGGAGGGGGAUAACUACUGGAAACGGUAGCUCAUACCGCAUACCAUCAGAUGUACCCAGAUGGGAUUAGCUGGUGGGUGGGGUAACGGCUCACAAAGGCGACGCUCCCUAGCUGGGGUGAGAGGAUGACCAGCCACACGGGGACUGCGACACGGUCCAGACUCCUACGGGAGGCAGCAGUGGGGAAUAUUGCACAAUGGGCGCAAGCCUGAUGCAGCCAUGCCGCGUGUAGGAAGAAGGCCUGCGGGUUGUAAAGUACUUUCAGCGGGGAGGCGUUACCCGCAGAAGAAGCACCGGCUAACUCCGUGCCAGCAGCCGCGGUAAUUG
rnacentral:rRNA from 1 species